ACACGACCGUACCGCAAACCGACACUGGUGCGCGAGAUGAGUAUUCUAAGGCGCUUGAGAGAACUCAGGAGAAGGAACUCGGCAAAUUGACACCGUAACUUCGGAAGAAGGUGUGCCUUUAGUAGGUGAACCAUUUACUUGGGGAGCCCAAUGAGGCUGCAAAAAAUCGGUGGCUGCAACUGUUUAUUAAAAACACAGCACUCUGCUAAGACGAAAGUCGACGUAUAGGGUGUGACGCCUGCCCGGUGCUGGAAGAUUAAAUGAUGGGGUGCAAGCUCUUGAUUGAAGUCCCAGUAAACGGCGGCCGUAACAAUAACGGUCCUAAGGUAGCGAAAUUCCUUGUCGGGUAAGUUCCGACCUGCACGAAUGGCGUAAUGAUGGCCACACUGUCUCCUCCUGAGACUCAGCGAAGUUGAAAUGUUUGUGAUGAUGCAAUCUCCCCGCGGAAAGACGGAAAGACCCCAUGAACCUUUACUGUAGCUUUGUAUUGGACUUUGAACAGAUCUGUGUAGGAUAGGUGGGAGGCUUUGAAGUGUGGUCGCUAGAUCGCAUGGAGCCAACGUUGAAAUACCACCCUGGUGUGUUUGAGGUUCUAACCUAGGUCCAUUAUCUGGAUCGGGGACAGUGCAUGGUAGGCAGUUUGACUGGGGCGGUCUCCUCCCAAAGUGUAACGGAGGAGUUCGAAGGUACGCUAGGUACGGUCGGACAUCGUGCUAAUAGUGCAAUGGCAUAAGCGUGCUUAACUGCGAGACUGACAAGUCGAGCAGAUGCGAAAGCAGGACAUAGUGAUCCGGUGGUUCUGUAUGGAAGGGCCAUCGCUCAACGGAUAAAAGGUACUCUGGGGAUAACAGGCUGAUACCGCCCAAGAGUUCAUAUCGACGGCGGUGUUUGGCACCUCGAUGUCGGCUCAUCUCAUCCUGGGGCUGUAGCCGGUCCCAAGGGUAUGGCUGUUCGCCAUUUAAAGAGGUACGUGAGCUGGGUUUAAAACGUCGUGAGACAGUUUGGUCCCUAUCUUCCGUGGGCGCUGCAGAUUUGAGGAAGCCUGCUCCUAGUACGAGAGGACCGGAGUGGACGAACCUCUGGUGUAUCGGUUGUCACGCCAGUGGCAUUGCCGAGUAGCUAAGUUCGGAAGAGAUAACCGCUGAAAGCAUCUAAGCGGGAAACUCGUUUCAAGAUUAGAUCUGCCGGGGCCUUGAGCCCCCUAAAGAGUCGUUCAAGACCAGGACGUUGAUAGGUCAGGUGUGGAAGCGA
rnacentral:rRNA from 1 species